rnacentral:rRNA from 1 species
ACUACGGGAGGCAGCAGUGAGGAAUAUUGGUCAAUGGUCGGGAGACUGAACCAGCCAAGCCGCGUGAGGGAUGAAGGUACAGAGUAUCGUAAACCUCUUUUGUCAGGGAACAAAGGCGGGGACGCGUCCCCGGAUGAGUGUACCUGAAGAAAAAGCAUCGGCUAACUCCGUGCCAGCAGCCGCGGUAAUACGGAGGAUGCGAGCGUUAUCCGGAUGUAUUGGGUUUAAAGGGUGCGCAGGCGGUCUGUUAAGUCCGCGGUCAAAGCCCGGGGCUCAACCCCGGCCCGCCGUUGAAACUGGCAGUCUCGAGUUGGCGAGACGUAUGCGGCAUGCGCGGUGUAGCGGUGACUUGCAUAGAUCUCGCGCAGAACUCCGAUUGCGAAGGCAGCAUGCCGGCUCCACCCUGACGCUGAGGCACGAAAGCGUGGGUAUCGAACAGGAUUAGAUACCCUUGUAGUC